rnacentral:rRNA from 1 species
UACGUAGGGUGCAAGCGUUGUCCGGAAUUAUUGGGCGUAAAGAGCUCGUAGGCGGUCUGUCGCGUCUGCUGUGAAAACUCGGGGCGUUAACCCCGGGCUGGCAGUGGGUACGGGCAGACUAGAGUGCGGUAGGGGGAGACUGGAAUUCCUGGUGUAGCGGUGAAAUGCGCAGAUAUCAGGAGGAACACCGGUGGCGAAAGGCGGGGUCUCUGGGGCCGUAACUGACGCUGAGGAGCGAAAGCGUGGGGAGCAACGG